GCCCCGGCGUUGAACAGCUGCAGCUCGUAUCAAGUCCGUAUUUUAUAUUUUAAACUGCUAGCUACACACCUAUGCUUAAAUCCAAACGGACUAAACCAAGUGGAAACGCUUUGAUGCCACGUGCAAAGUCAUGCCACCAUCAAUGGGAAUGGCACAUUGGACACGUGGCUUUCAACUCCAGCGAGGUGGCGGCACGGAUCUCUGCAUGUCUGACUGACAUCUCCCAGUGGAUGUCCGCCCAUCACCUGAAGAUCAACCCCGACAAGACUGAACUACUUUUCUUCCCUGGAAAAAACUCGCCCACUCAGGACCUGACCGUUAACUUUGGCGAACACCGUUAACAUCAGGAGAAUACCACCCCUUCUCACUCAGAAGGCGGCGCAGGUACUGAUUCAGGCUCUUGUCAUCUCUCGCCUCGACUACUGUAACUCUCUGCUGGCAGGUCUCCCUGCUACCGCCAUUCGACCACUGCAGCUCAUCCAGAAUGCAGCAGCUCGACUGGUCUUCAACCUUCUGAAAUACUCCCACACCGCUUCUCCCUUCACUUCAUUGGUUACCAGUGGCUGCCCGCAUCCAGUUCAAAGCAUUGGUACUGACGGACCACGCUGUGAAUGGAUCGGGACCAGUCUACAUCCGGGACAUGGUGAAACCCUGCAUCCCAACCCACGCACUCCGAUCUGCAUCUGGCAAGCUGCUUGUUCCUCCCUCACUGAGAGAAAAGCACUCGACGAGAUGGCGACUCUUUGCUGUCCUGCUCCCAGAUGGUGGAAUGAGCUCUCUGAUGACAUCAGGACCGCAGAGAGCCUCUCCAUCUUCCGUCGAAAACUCAA